AUUCCUUGAUGAGAGGCGACAAUGAGUGAACAACGCGAAGAAUAACAACACAAAAAACAGUUUUCAAGAUUUGGAUUUCUGUAGAGUGCAGAUUAAUUUAUAAUUUAAGUGGUUUGUAGAUUUUGUGAAAAUGCUGAGGAAUUUCGGAAGGCUUUCACAGGCUGCUGCAAGAUUAAGUGGCUCUAAUGCAGCCUCUGUCAUCAGGACACAGGGCCAGGGCCGGAGAUGCAUAUCAUCGUCUACUCCACUUCAAGGCACUAAGUACUACUACCGUGCAAUUGCCACAGAGCAUCCCAAGGGCCGUGUGAUUGCUGGGGACCUGAUAGUGGCUUUCAUGUGGUACUGGAUCCUAUACCACAUGUGGUACGAGCCAGAACAUCUUUUUGGAGAGUUUGAAUACCCGGACGCCGCCAAAUGGACCGACCAGGAGCUGGGCAUCCCUGCCGACGACGAGUGAAGCGAAAAGUUGUACUGAACAUGCGGGUUGGAACGAUUGUGUAACGUGAUAAUAUAGGUACGGUACGAAG